UACGUAGGAGGCAAGCGUUGUCCGGAAUUACUGGGCGUAAAGCGCGUGUAGGUGGUGGGACAAGUCUGCUGUGAAAGCGCCUGGCUUAACCGGGCGAGGUCGGCGGAAACUGUCCGACUCGAGGACGGUAGAGGGGGGUGGAAUUCCCGGUGUAGUGGUGAAAUGCGUAGAGAUCGGGAGGAACACCUGUGGCGAAGGCGGCCCCCUGGGCCGGCCCUGACACUGAGACGCGAAGGCGUGGGGAGUGAACGGG
rnacentral:rRNA from 1 species